rnacentral:tRNA from 1 species
GCCUCGGUAGCUUAGUUGGUAAAGCCCUCGUCUAGCAUACAAGAGUUAUGGGUUCGAAUCCCAUCUGAUUUG